CCUACGGGGGGCUGCAGUCGAGAAUCAUUCACAAUGGGGGAAACCCUGAUGGUGCGACGCCGCGUGGGGGAAUGAAGGUCUUCGGAUUGUAAACCCCUGUCAUGUGGGAGCAAAUUAAAAAGAUAGUACCACAAGAGGAAGAGACGGCUAACUCUGUGCCAGCAGCCGCGGUAAUACAGAGGUCUCAAGCGUUGUUCGGAAUGACUGGGCGUAAAGCGUGCGUAGGCUGUUUCGUAAGUCGUGUGUGAAAGGCGCGGGCUCAACCCGCGGACGGCACAUGAUACUGCGAGACUAGAGUAAGGGAGGGGGAACCGGAAUUCUCGGUGUAGCAGUGAAAUGCGUAGAUAUCGAGAGGAACACUCGUGGCGAAGGCGGGUUCCUGGACAUUAACUGACGCUGAGGCACGAAGGCCAGGGGAGCGAAAGGGAUUAGAUACCCUUGUAGUC
rnacentral:rRNA from 1 species